UAGAAUGCUGUAAUGUCCUACAACAUCAAAGAAGAAUAGAAAUACACUGUUAGCAGAAAGCUAACUAGUUACAUUGUUAAACCAUCCAUAUGAAGUACAAAUCCUUCCACAUUCCUGGACUCCUCAUUCAGUCUCCAGGAACAGUGCGUUAUUACCUAAAGCACCAGUGAUAAGGGGAAAUUUUUGUGUUUUUGUUGUUACCACUAUUAAAAUGUCGAAGAGAGGUAGAGAAACUCACCAUGGUAUUCAGCAACCCAAACAUGUGGCAACAUCAAACGCCUGCCCUGAAUCCAUCUUUGGGACUACACAGUUAACGGUAUAAAAUAUUAAGGCUCACCUUUGGACUGUAAGAGGUGCUGUGCUGCAUAGCAAAUGUGGUUGGAGCCUCUGGAUGUUUUCAGCCUGGACCCCCAUCUGGAAGCCACAGGCGGACAAGGCCAUUCACUUGCCAAAACAAACAAAAUAUUUUCAAUAUUCUGUGUUUUUGAAAAGUUCUCUUGCUUGUCAUCAAAAAGUCACUUACAAUCAGGGAGUCAAUUUGUAUUCAAGAGGUUCUCCUUCUAUCAGCAAACGGUUUAUAGGCACUUUCACUAAAUUGCUUCUCUAAAAGAAACAGACGGGAUCUCAUCUGCAUUGGCUUAAGAAUAUCUCUGCCUGAAGACAGAGGAAUGGACUAGAUGACCCUCAAGAACUCUUUAUUCCUCAGUAUCUAAAAAUUUCUUGUAAAAUUUUGCUUCAAAGGAAAGUUUUGCUGACUCCUAGUCGAUGGCAUUUAACACCACACCAUGAAACUAAUAUUUCAAUCAAGACUGCUUGAUGGAUAUGCGACAGCCAAGAAGAUCUGAGAAAGAAAACUGAAGGUACCCUCCGAUGAAGGUAAUUCUCCACAGAGCAGGUAAAGCCUGAACCCAAGAGCAUCAAGAUGAACGAGAGAUUGAACACCUCAGGAGGACAGUGAUAUUAGAAGGGUGCUAUGAGAGGGAAAAGUUAAGAAAGUUGACUUUUAACAGCUCUGAUCCCCUGACACAAAUGAAACUUCUUUUAUUUGAAAAACUAAGCUGCUUCAACCCACACUUUUUUAUUAAAAGUAUUUAUGAGUACUCUUGCAAUCCUUCACACAUAAACCACGUACCACCCCAGCCAGGCCACUGCACAUUCAAGCUUUGUGACUCAUAUGAAGCAAGAUUUACCUGCAUUACAACCG